CCUACGGGAGGCUGCAGUGGGGGAUAUUGCACAAUGGGGGAAACACUGAUGCAGCGACGCCGCGUGAGUGAAGAAGUAUUUCGGUAUGUAAAGCUCUAUCAGCCGGGAAGAAAAUGACAGUACCUGACCAAGAAGCCCCGGCUAACUACGUGCCAGCCGCCGCGGUAAGACGUAGGGGGCAAGCGUUCUCCGGAUUUACUGGGUGUAAAGGGAGCGUAGACGGUUAUGUAAGUCUGGAGUGAAAGCCCGGGGCCCAACCCCGGGACUGCUUUGGAAACUGGGGAACUGGAGUACAGGAGGGGCAGGCGGAAUGCCUGGUGUAGCGGUGAAAGGCGUAGAUAUCAGGAGGAACACCGACGGCGAAGGCGGCCUGCUGGACUGAAACUGACGUUGAGGCUCGAAAGCGUGGGGAGCAAACAGGAUUAGAUACCCUUGUAGUC
rnacentral:rRNA from 1 species